AGAGUUUGAUCAUGGCUCAGAUAGAACGCUGGCGGCAGGCCUAACACAUGCAAGUCGAGCGGUAGAGAGAAGCUUGCUUCUCUUGAGAGCGGCGGACGGGUGAGUAAUGCCUAGGAAUCUGCCUGGUAGUGGGGGAUAACGUUCGGAAACGGACGCUAAUACCGCAUACGUCCUACGGGAGAAAGCAGGGGACCUUCGGGCCUUGCGCUAUCAGAUGAGCCUAGGUCGGAUUAGCUAGUUGGUGGGGUAAUGGCUCACCAAGGCGACGAUCCGUAACUGGUCUGAGAGGAUGAUCAGUCACACUGGAACUGAGACACGGUCCAGACUCCUACGGGAGGCAGCAGUGGGGAAUAUUGGACAAUGGGCGAAAGCCUGAUCCAGCCAUGCCGCGUGUGUGAAGAAGGUCUUCGGAUUGUAAAGCACUUUAAGUUGGGAGGAAGGGUUGUAGAUUAAUACUCUGCAAUUUUGACGUUACCGACAGAAUAAGCACCGGCUAACUCUGUGCCAGCAGCCGCGGUAAUACAGAGGGUGCAAGCGUUAAUCGGAAUUACUGGGCGUAAAGCGCGCGUAGGCGGUUAGUUAAGUUGGAUGUGAAA
rnacentral:rRNA from 1 species